rnacentral:lncRNA from 1 species
CGUUAUUAUCUGUAUCGCCGCUGCGAUCAGGCAGAUGCAGCCAAUAUUGCUUCUCUGCGACGCUUAAAGAAGGUAACCGACCAGCCCCUAUCUGGAAGGUUUUCUUUAAUUAUAGGGGCUUGCUUGAAGUUUUUCAUCCAGGCAUGCAGGCGAGGAAACUUGUGGGCUUCAAAUAUUACUCCUUCCCCUACUACUUCUUCAAUGAGUCCCAACCAAUAAAUAACAGAACCAAAGGCUAUAUCUGCUAUCCCAAUACUGUCUCCACCAAAAAAUUUCUUCUCCCCUAACGCGUGUUCUUCUACGUUGUGCAACAUUUCCAGGGUUUCCUUCCUUGUAUUCUCAAGCUCUUCCCCUUUAGCACGAAACAGUCUCCACACUGAUGUACCCUGAAGCCAGAAUCAACCAUGACAUUAAUCACUGGAAACUAAAUGGAGUGCCAAAGAAAAUUAAGCUUAACAAGUCCAGUUUAAUUUAUAGUAUUGUAUGAAUCAUGAAAUGUACAAUAAUGUCUGCAAGCUGUACCUUAUCUUCGGCAAAUUUGACCCAGAAACGAGCCAGAGCUCUCUCGUAGGGGUCAUUUGGCAGCAAUGGAUUUUGGGGCCACAUCUCAUCGAUGUAUUCGACAAUGAUCAUGGACUCGCAAACUGGCUUAUCGCCAUGGAGAAGCACUGGGAUCUUCUUGUGAACAGGGUUAUACUUGAGAAGCAGCGGACUUUUAUUGGUGAGAUCUUCUUCGAUAAACUCGUAUGGAAUAGCCUUUAAUUUUAGUGCCCAUAUCACUCGGUAAACAAAUGGGCUGGGCAAUGCUCCAAGCAGCUUCACUCUUUCCGCCAUGACUGAGAGGUUUGUGGUGAUUCUUCAUCGUUACCUUCCACGCUCCUUUAUAGUGUUAAUUCAACGGAAGAGUCUCGCUUGGGCAGCAAUUCAACUUUGCCUUUGAAGGAGUUUUCUAGUCCAUAUUGAUGUAUUUGCUUACGUGAUCAUAUUCAUAAACAACUGUAUUUAUAUAAUCUAUUCGCCAAGAUCAGAGAUUGAAGAUGCUAGAACAUGAUCUAAUUAAAUUAAAUAUAUUCUAUUUCUCUUCUCUUUUCUUUAUGCUCAAGUUUAAUCAUGUUUUAAGUUUAAUUAUAUUUUUUCUGGGGAAAAAAGUUUGGAUUUUCCUCUUUCUCUCUUUAUUCUUUUUAAUUAUGUGUGCAAAGAGACAAAACCACGAAGAUAAGAAAUAAAAUAUUAAUUAAAACCAUGUCCGGUAGUGAAUAGUGAUGUGUCGCUUGUUCUACGAAAGUUUCAAUUUCCCGGAACAUACUCGAUGUUGUCGAUGUUGACUAUACAUCAUCUUCUGGAUGUUGCUGCAUGAUAGCCGUCAUGCAUGAUGGUAUAAUGCUAAGAUAUUUUUUUUUUUAUUUUUUUAAUAUAUUGAUAUUAAAAAUAAAUUUUAAAAAAUAAAAAAUAUUAUUUUAAUAUAUUUUAAAAUAAAAAAUAUUUUAAAAAAUAAUCCUUAUUAUAAUAUUAAACAGGCUAUAAUUACAUUGCCAUGCCUCCUGAGUCUUGAUAGCCAAGACAGGCAAACUGAUUGGUUUACAUAAACAAUAUUUGAUUGUGCCGAAAUAAGAUAAACUCUUCUUUGUAUAUGUGUAGCAUUAAUUUGUGAUCGUUUGGUUUUCGUAUAGCACAUCUUAUCAUGAGGCAUUAGGAUGUUUUAGAGUUAAAUUGUUUACAUUUUUAUCAUGUAUUAAAUUCUAUAAUUCAAUUUGAAUUUGAUAAUUUAAAUUCAAUAAACAGUUAAAUUAUUGUAGAAUUCUAUUUGAGAGACAAAAGAACAAACAACUGCCUUUUGAGAAAAUCAAUGUGUGUUUGGUAUUGUGGUAGCUGUUGUGAUUUGAAAAAAAUUGUUUUAUAAAAAGUACUUUUAGUUGGUUUGAUAUUUAUAUAUGUUUGAUUAAAACUGUGAUUAAAAUUGAAGUUGAUUAAAAAAUAGUUUAAUGUAUUUGGUUAAAAAUACUUUUCAAAUUGAGGUUAUAAAAUAAUUAAAAAAGAUAUAUAUUAAUAUUGAUGGUUUUUAAUUUAAAUAUUGUAUAUUUAAAUACUGCUAUUACAUCAUGAAAUAAAUAAUAAUUUAUAUAAAAUAUUUUUUAUUGUUCCAUUAAACUUUCUACAAUUCCAUAAUGUACGAAAUUCAUUCGAUAAGGACUACAGUUUCCAUGGUUUAUUGAGCAUGCAACAACAUCAGGUAAAAUAUUAUCAGGAACAAAAUUGAAAUUGCAAUCAAAUUCUGUAAAUGCUACGUCAUUAUGCGAUAUCCUUCUAAUUUAUGUAGUGUCAUUGCAUAAUGUUAAACAGUAGUUUUUUUUCAAUAAAACACAAUUAAAAAUAAAAAAAAUGGAUUUUUUUUAUUUUACUGGGUCGGACCCGAUUCAAUACAUUUAGGUUUGUACCGGACCGGUCCGGCCGAAACAGUGCUCCACCGUUCACUUUUGUAAAGAAACUUGAAUGAGUUAUCUGCCAUGAUUAAUUCACCUACAACUCUUGAUCAUGUAUAGGCAUCCACCUCUUCCAGCUGUUGCAGAUGAUUAAAGUUUGAGAGAGGAAAGGCACCAUUCCUUGUGAAGCAGAUCGUGGAGCUGGAUCGCUCCGCCCCUAGUCAUCUUCACUAUCUCGAUCUUCAAACAAGUCUUCGGCUGGGUCAUACACAAUCAUGUCAGGGAAAAGCUCCAGGAAGUCAUCUUUUACAUGCUCUAUGUAAUGUUUGGGAAAGACAAGCUACAACAUAUAGAAUUUGCAAUUCCAAACACAAAAGAUGAAUAAUUGAGCCGGAUUUUGAAAAAUGAGGUUAGCUGCUGUUGGAAAGCAUAGUUUUCCAAUUUUUUAUCAGCCACAGGUGCAGCCACAAUUACUCUGGGUCCCACCAAAAUAAAAUCUUUUUUUCUUUUUAUUUUUGCAUAACCAAACACAUAGAAACUAUGGUUUAUUUGAACCUCCGGUACAGCCGCAUUACCAAACGGCACCCGCUGUUGUGUGGUUGCGGUUGUUUUUUAAAGUGUUUUUCACUUAGAAAUAUAUCAAGAUAAUAUUUUUUUUUAUUUUUUUAAAAUUAUUUUUGACACCAGCGCAUCAAAAUGAUCUAAAAACAUAAAAAAAAUAUUAAUUUGAAGUAAGAAAAAAAAUAAAAAAAAAUUAAUUUUUUUUAUAAGCGCUUUUGAAAUAUAAAAACAAAGAGAGUUGUGCGACAGAAGAGAAAAGAAGAGGGAAGAAAGAAAGAAAAAUGCCCAACUAGACGUAAUAACAGCCCAACCGGCUAGGAAAGAAGAGAGAAGAAAAAAGAGGGGGGGGGACAAUAGGCUGCCAGAGCUACACUAGUAACUUGUCGUUGACACACCCGCUAGGAACACUUCCCUCGCCAAGACAAACUAACGAUACCAUGGAAGACCACCAUUGGAGGCCGAAAGCAUCCAGGCAUGCAGCUUGAAAACGACAUCGAGCAUGUAUGACGUGCUAAACAAUGUUCUACCCCUUCUUCCAUUUCAGUCCCUGAUCAUUUAAUAACUCUUCAAUUCAACACCUAACCCGAUCCAACUAAGCCCGGUAAGGGAGAGGAAAGGGGAAAAUAAAUUUGGCUCAACUGGGAAAAAAAACCCUAACCCAACCGAACUCGCCUCAAAAAGUGAGGGAGAAGAAGAAAAGAGAAAGAGAGGGAAAAGGUGGCCAACCCAAACUGACGACAAACACAUUGGCUCUUUUCAUAUUGAGCAAAUUUCAAAUUGGACAUGACACAUGCCCAAUAUACUCACCACUUUGAAUUCUCUAUUUUACAAGUUAUCAGUCACACUUGAAUUUUCUUCUUACAAGGUUAUGAAUACGAUGCCCACUUGAACUCUCUAAAUUGUCAAUACAAUGCCUACCUAAAAGCCUUGUCUCACAAGUUAACAUGAUGGCAUGAACAACUUGUCCUAACAAGUUGUUCGUGCAGAUAUUCACGGUGAAUUAAAUAUUCUUUGAUUCCUACAAGUAGGUGUGCGAACCUACAACCUAUAAUGAAAAUACAGAAAAUACAAGUGAUGCUAUAAUGAAAAUACAGAAAAUACAAGUGAUGCUAUAAUGAAAAUACAGAAAAUACAAGUGAUGCCAGGUAUAUUAAUACCAAUGACCAACCACACAUAUAGAACACAGCACAUUCUCCUACAUUUUCAUUUCCCUUCUUCUAUAAAUUAUGCUUAGGCAUUGGAGGGUCCUAUGAAGGACUUGUUUCACAGGAGAAAAUGGAUUAUUAACCCAAGCACAUUUUUUUUUCCAAUCCCAUUAAGCAGCCAUGGAAAGGUCCGUGUGAAGUCUUUCGAACUUCGUCAAUAUAUGUUUGGAAAUUAUUUAAUUAUAGGAUAAUAACUGCAUAACAUCCAGCUCUAUUAACCUUGAUCAAACCACAAAUUCUUUUUCCACUGAAUGAAUAUGAAAAUAACUUAAAUAAAACAUUAAUCUUUUGUUUUUUAGCAUAAACUAUUGACUUGUUGGUUUAGCAUCCAUCCUUUAGAAUCAAAAUUAAAAAGUAAAAACAAAACAAUUCCCUGCAAAAGGAUCAAAAGCAAGCAAACACCCAAAAAAUAAUUAAUCAAAGACAUAGCCAAAACACCAAAAUCCCUUAGGUAAUUAAAUCAUAACCAAUCCCAUCAUCCGGUAUCAUAACAAACAUCAAUUAAAAAAGAAAAGGGAAUAAAAAAACUGACCUUGGAGGUCCAAAGAAGAUCACUAGAAGCAACACGGUUCCAGGUACGAGAAACGACGAGACAUAGUGCCAAGCUGCGUGCGUCAAAGUUGUUUAAAACCCUCAACAUCAAGUCCCUACCAAGCCCAUCCAAAGGGUCUUGACAAAAGGGACGACCUCGAUCCUCCCUCAUCUUCUUUCUUUUCCUUUUCUUUCCUUUCCUCUCCACUACUAAAGCUAAGCCCUCUUCCAUGUCCUUGCUCUGGUUCUCCUAUAAUUCUCGCUUGUUGGUCUGUGCCAUUGAAGAGGAGUGAGACAGAGAAGUGAAGAAAGAAGGAAUGUGAAUCAAGUUUGGCUUUGCAUCUUUUAACGUUUCUUUCCUUUGGCCUUUUUCUUUACUCUGUUGUCGUUUUGUGAGAUUGGGAUUCUGUCCAAAUACAGUGUAACUAGAGUAGAGGGGAUCGUCUUUGGAAGUCUUACGAGUGCGGAUUUAGUUUUCAACCGUUUGUUUACUAGAAAGUAGUUUUUUUUUGGAAAGUGAAUUUCAGGAAAGUAUUUUCUGAUGUUUGGUAGUGUAAUGAAAAAUAAGUUGGAAAAUACUUUCCAGUAUUUGAUUAUGUUAUGGAAAAUGAGCUGGAAAAUAACUUAUUAAUGUUUUAUUUUUCUCAAGUUUAUUAAAAUAAUGAGGAACAAAUCUUACAAAUUAAAAAGUUGAAUGAGAAUGAAAUUAAAAAAAAUAUAUAAUUUCAUAAAUUAUCUCAAAUAAAAUAAAUAAUAAUCAAAAUAAUAGAGAUCAAAUCUAAAAAAUUAAAAAAAAAUAAAAGGUGAAAAAAUUAAAAUAAUAAUAAUUAACAUUUCAUAAAUUAUUUCAAAUAAAAUAAGUAACAAUCAAAAGAAUGAGGACCAAAUUUGAUAGAUAAAAAAUUUCAAUAAAAAAAUGAUAAGGAAAAAGCAAAUAGCAAUUAUAAAAAUAAGAACCAAAAUUAAUAUAAAAAUUAAAUUUUAAGAGAUGGAAUUGAAAAAUAAAUAUUCAAAACAAAUUAUAUAUAGCAAUCAAAAGUUUGAGGAUCAAAUUUGAUAUAAUCAGCAAAUAAUGAUAUUUUUAAUUUUUUCACAACUUCCGGAAAGUGUUUUCCGCCCAAAUUUUCAAGGAAAAAACUUUCCUGAAAACCAAGCCAAAUUUUCCUUUAACUGAAAAGUGUUUUCCGUUGACCAACUUUUCUAAUGGCAAACAAACAUAGAAAAGUUUGGAAAGUGAUUUCCAGAAAACCACUUUCCGAAAAACAAACACAGCCAAAAGGGAAAACACUUUCCUGGAAACCAAACCAAAUUUUUAUUUGACGGGAAAGUGUUUUCCGUUGACCGGAAAGUGUUUCUGUUGACUGGAAAAUGUUUUCCGUUGACCGGAAAGUGUUUUCCGUUGACCAACUUUCCUAAUGGCAAACAAACACAGGAAAGUUUGGAAAGUGAUUUCUCGGAAAGUAAAUUCCGGGAAACAAACAUGGCCUUAGUUAAGGGUGGAUAAAUUCGGUAAUUAACAUGAAAAAUGCAAAUAAAAAAGGAAAUGAUAUAAAAAUAAUAUUUUUCUUUUCCAGUGAAAUAGUAUAUUUUUGUAUGCUAUGAUUGGAAAAUAUGAUAUUUAAUUAAAUAUUUUAAAUAUCAUAGUUUUCAAUGCCUAUUAUAUAUUAUAGUGGGGAAUCACAAUAAAUUUUUAAUUAAUAUUAAAAAAAUUAUAAUAUUAUUAAAAUUAGACUUUUGGAAUAAGAUUUUUAAAAUCUAAAUAUCUAAUGGUUAAAAUAUGCUAUUCUAAAAAAAAAAUCUUUGCAAACUCUUGUAAAAAUUUAAGAAUAACUCAAUGGUUAAAACAAAAGUUAAGAUUCUUUUGAGUCAUCAUUAUGAUUUGGAAUUACUAUACCGCCUCAUAUAUCUAAUAAGUUAUAUACAUAAUUUAUCUAGAAUAUAUCAUCAUCUAAUUAUAAUAUAUUCACAUUUAACUAUUCGGAAUCAUCAGUGAAAACUACCAUGCGAGCAAUAACUAUUUACGAUUUUAAUUGAAAAGUGUUUUUUAAUUUACAAGUUGGAUAAAAAUAUAUAUUUUUACUUAUAAAACAUAUUAAAAAAAAAUCCUUAAAUUUAUAGUUUUUGUGUGAAAUGAUCUAUCAGUUAUAUAACUAUAUCUGAUUGGUCAACUAACUGGAUGUUUAAAAGUGCAAUAUAUUUAAAUAUGGUUAUUCUAUAGCAAGAUAAGAUAAAAAUAUAUUAUUUUAUCAAAUCUUUUAAAAAUACUUUUAAUUUAACGUGGAAAUUUUUUAAAAUAAAAAUCCCUUAAGGUUAUGAAAUGCCACUUAUGCAGUCGCUGCUAGGUCAUAUUCCUCUGCUCUCUCUAACCCAUCGCGUCCUUGAUAUUUUUCAAUCAAGCCCCUUCAAAUUCAAUCAACAAACUGUGACAAAUUCACCUCCAAUUCUCUUACCCUUAUCAAAAUGACGUGGCAAAUUGAAUUUUCUUUUUAUGCUCUAUUAUGCCUUAAAGUGUAUACCAAUAGUAGCCUUUACGAUUAUGUUUUACAAUAAUAGAUUCUAAGAAAAUAUUUUUAGUUAUGAUUUUAAAAAAAUAAAUUUAAAAAAAUUAUGUGUCUGAUUAAAAUUGUUAUGAAAUGAAUUUUUAUAUGUACAAUAAAAAAAGUAGAUUUUAAUGAAUAAAAAACAAGUUAUUUUAACAUUUAUAAAAUCAAAAUUUUAAACACAAUUAUAUAUAAUAUCCAAUAUAAAAGGUAAAAGCUAUUUGAUUAUCAAAAUGGUUUUUUCUAAGCAAAAAACAAAAAUUAUCACAAUGCCAAAUAAUUUUUAAAUUUAAUUUGAAAUUGGUUCGAGGCUGUUGAGUUAUAAAAUUAAUUUGGAUAAAAUAUUUUUAUUAAAAUAAAAUAAUUAUAUUUUUAUGAAACACUGACUUAAUCAAGUUUAAUCUAAAUUUGAUAUGAUAAUUAAGAUAUUAAACAUCAAGCAAUGUCAACUUGGUUUGCCAAGUAAAUUAUUUGUUUGAUUUAACUAAAAACCCAAUAAUUUUAUUUUAUCAAAACGUUGGUGAAAUUUGAAUCCAUUUAAAAACCAACAAAAAAUAGAUUUUGGAGCAUAUGCCAACUUCCAAUCCCUCGUGAUUAUUAUUUUAUCAAAACGUCGCUGGAAUUAGUGUUUUAUGAUCUUGGUUAAUUAAAUUAAAUAGUUUUUAAUAAUGUUAUUCAAGAGUGUAUUAACAGUUAAAGUAUUAUUUAUUUUAAAAUAUAUUAAAAUUUCAUUUGAAAAAUAUUAAAAACAUAUUAAUUUAAAAUAAAAAAAAUUUAAAUUUUUUUUAAAAUACUUUCCAACUACCGAACACCAGGUUAACGAGUUCUUCAAUUCCUUUAUUCCUUCCUUCAAUCACGGAAAGUAACAUAACGAUUACACGGGACUCAAAGACGGGCCUAGGCCUAUCACAGCGAACAGCUGAAAGACGACACGAAUGCAAUAAAGAGACAGACAAGACACGAAACAAGAGGUCCUGAACACUGAAAAACACACCACAGAUCCCGUUAUUAUCUGUAUCACCGGUGCGAUCAGGCAGAUGCAGCCAACAUUGCUUCUCUGCGACGCUUAAAGAAGGUAACCAACCAGUCCCUAUCUGGAAGGUUUUCUUUAAUUAUAGGGGCUUGCUUGAAGUUUUUCAUCCAGGCAUGCAGGCGAGGAAACUUGUGGGCUUCAAAUAUUACUCCUCCCCCUAGUACUUCUUCAACGACUUCCAACCAAUAAACAACAGAACCAAAGGCUAUAUCUGCCAUCCCUACACUGUCUCCACCAAAAAAUUUCUUCUCCCCUAACCC